ensembl:lncRNA
GAGGAAAAGCAGCAGCACCUGGAGAAUCGCACUGUUGUUCGCAGCUGCCCCGGCUCCCGCUGCAUCGCCCUCCUCGGAACCCGCAGGAUUUCCUAUUCCCAAACCUUGGCCCAAUUGAGAAGGAGGAGGCUGCGAGGAGGAGGAAGAUGGCCCGGGAGCCCCAGGCAGCGAGGAGUGGCCAUGGCCAGGAAGCCUGGGAUGGAUGGGAGCAGGAGAGGUUGGACCCUGGUCCAGAUGGACACCAGAGCCAUGGAUCCCACUCUGGAUGGACCCUGGUCCGGAUGGACACCAGAACUAUGGAUGCCACCUGGACUCUGGUCUGGACAGCCCCUGGCCCUGCAGCCCCCGAGACUGGCCAGCCCCCAGCCCAGAGGACCACCAGCUUGGCCCCAUCCCAGCCCACCCCACAGGAUCACCAGCCCAUCCCAGUAGCCCCAACCCCAAAACCUCCGAAAAUAAACCCAAUUCCAGUGGUGGUCCCUGCAGAGUGAGGGAGAAACUGAGGCACGGCUUGGGAGGAUGACUUUGCGGUUACAGGAGGGGACUUUGGGACCCACCAUGGAGACUCCAGAAUGAGCACCCACCCACCGAAUUGUCACCGCAGCACCGUGAGACCCCCAGCUGUCACAUGGGGGGACUCCAGGAGCCACCAUGACCCUGCAGUCCCUUUGAGGGGUGACCCGCAGCGUCCCCCUGCUGUCACCGGCACGUCCUUAGUGGGAGCAGCAGCAUCACCGGGGGGGCAAAGGAGGAGGAGGUGAGGAUGGCGUGAGCCGGGCUCUGCGGGUGCUGAGGCUGCUCUGGGCUCUGCCAGGGCUCUGCUGGGCUCUGCCCUGGGCACAGCUGGGCUGGCUCUGCCCUCACAUUGCUCUGACAGCUUUGCAUCAGACGAGCCCGUUUGAGCACAGUGCCUGAGCUUUCUGCUUUGGCAGGUGAGUGAGACUCCCCUGCAGGCCAGGAGAUUGCAGCUGGGGACACACAUCCAAUUGGCAAGGACCCAAACUCUCCAUAGUCCCAGCUGAACUCCUGAAUCUCCACAGGAACGCCUGGAUCUCCACUAUUCAUUCUUCAUUUCUUUUUGGCUGGAAUUGUGCAGUUGCACUUUCUUCCUCCUCUAGAAGUGCCAUGAGUGGGCCAAACCUGGCAAGUGAGCCGUGUUCCUGAGGCAGUGCAGUCUGGAGCUGAUGGAUGGAGAAUUGCCCUUCCCACUUCCAAACCAGAGCAAAAAGCCGUAAGUGGGAUUUUUCAUCCGUAAGAAACCCCUGAGAAUUUCAGAGGGAAUGUGCAGCUCAUUCCCAGAGUGAGAAGGAAGGUCAUCUUCUAAAGGAUUUGGGGUUUGACAGAGUUGAGAUUCCCAGUCCUGCCUGGAGCUGGAAGGGCCCCAAUCAAUUUCCUAUUGCUUUGAUGACAAUUUAAAAUAACAAUGUUGGAAGCAAACCCCAAAACCUUUAAAAAAGGCUGCUGAGGUCCGUAAGAUGGAUCCAUGCCAUCAGCACAUUUACAAUGUAAAUAACUGAGUUCUCUUUUUAAAGAGAUAAUUUACCUCUUAAUGCAAAGUUACAAAAGUUGUUUCACUAAAACUUGGAUUUUAUUUGUAUCUUUUACAAUUCAGCUAAUUGGAUUUUUUUCUUUUUCCUUUUUUUUUCUUUAAAUAAAGGUCCUGGCCCUCUUCCAGCCGAAGGGGAAAGGGCCCCACCAAGACUUGUUACCCACAGACAACAUGGUAAAGCUGAACACUAAAGGACCUUGGGGGCAUUAAUCUGGAAUUAAAAUGGUGCCAGGUCCAUGGACAACUGAAUUAUUGUUCCUAACCUGAAUGAGAUUGAGCAAAAAGAAUGAAGAACGGUGUCACUAAAGUACUACUGACGUUUGCCAAAACACCUCCAGAGUUUCACCAAGAGAUCAGUCAUCAAAAAUGUUUUGGAAAUUUAAAGACCAAGGUAGCCAAAGCACACAGUGUCACUAAUUGCUGGGUAUGUUCUCAGCUGAAGUUGGGAGGAAUGGGGUUCCCUUGGAGGGCCCACCCUGUGGGGUGGCCAGAACUCUGUCAAUGGGCUCUGCCUCGUAACGGAGUCAAUGAAGGGACAGUUAGAGAAACCUGUGCUGUGGGACACGGGAAUACAACGAUCAGUGUGACAGGAUUCACUCAGAUUUCCCAUCAGGAGAAACCAAACCCUGUUACAGUUAUAGAGGCUACAGUGUCAGAAGAUUUCUGUGCUUUACCAUCACUCCCAAUGUCAGAAGAACUUGGGGUGCUGCAGCUGGUCAGUGUCAGUGUCACACCGCUCCCAGCUGCAGGGCCCCCAUUUAGGGUCCUUCAGCAACGACCACACAGAAGACUUAGGGCCCAGAGAACAUUUUCCACCCAAAGAGUGCCUUAGGUUUCCGAAAGCAAAGGAUUCUGGUUCACCCUGUGCCCCAUGUGCGCUGCCCCGCCCCGUGGAGUUGACAUGAAUGAGCUGAAUGGAUUACUAGAAGAGGUAGCAAAUGAUACUGUUGAAAUGUCCAUUAGCACAUCCUAUGAGCUCCAACAAACACAAAUGGGGACUCCAGAGAACCGCAUGGCCUUGGAUUAUCUGCUUGCUGGCCAAGGAGGAACCUGGGCUAUCAGGGGACGGGGAUGUUGCACUGCUAGCAGUGAUGGGUUUGAAGGCCAACAGUCAGGAAUCACCUUGACAGAAAGAGCAGUAGAAGAGUGGCAGAAGAAAAUUCUUCUUGGUGGGAUUGGCUUCAUGGCUGCCAAAUUAGAGGCUGCUGUGAAAUGCAUUCAUGUCAGGGCCUGUCAUCAUUGCAGUGUGUGCACUUGGUGAGUUGCUGUGACACUUUGUGCUGGGAAGUGGAGUACUGGGACCUUUCUUAAAAGAGACAGUCUCAAGAAAAGAGAGGCAUUUGAUAAAUAACAGAGAAUAGCAACUAUUUAGGCAUGUUUUAAAAGGAACGUGAAUAGCUCUGAGUAAUGAACUUUACCUGCACUUAAUUGUAGAACAAGAGGAGAUGCCUUUAUGCCUAAUACCUCAAUCUAAGCUGUGUUACUGAAAGAAUUAUUACAAAGGUUGUAGUUGAUUGUAGGUCUCAGGACCAACCAAAGUACCAAGGCCUGAACAGGUUGUGAUCAAGGCCUGAACAGGUUGUGAUCAAGGCCUGAACAGGCCCUGAGGCAAAGCUCACCUCUAGAUGAACCUUCCAAGCAAAUGUUGUAUUUGUAUCCACUCAUUAAGGAAGGAUGAUUAACAACAUGAUCAAUGUAUGUGUUCCUUGAUAAAACAUGGAUUUGUCUUUCUGUAUUUAGAAACAGACAAGGCCCCAUCUGGCCUUGUUUGGGGGUGAAGGAUCAAAGUCAACUCCCUUGGUUCCUCCUUCAGUCCUGGCCAGGCUUUGGGAGAAAGCAGUCAGGAGAAUGAAAGCAGAUGUUCUCGAAGUGGCAGUGAUGCCAGCUUGUUUGUUUAACAGUGUAAAAGCUGGGUCCUCUCACAGCUUUGGGGUUGGAGCCUCAUUGCCUGCAGAGGUGGAGGCACCUGCAGGAAUUCCCAGUGACUCUCCAGUCCUUGGCUUCCCCCAGCUGAUGUGUGGCUGUGGAUGAUGGUAAAGCCUGAGGCUAACUGGUGAUGGAUCUUUCCUUAAUCACUCCAGGCAAUCUCUGGUAGCAAUGACUGGAUACAUUGCUGAGCUUCUUUUGUAAUGCUUUGCUAAUGAUGAUGUGCUUUGCUGAGCUUAUCCUUUUGUAAUUCUUUGCAGCUGUGCAUGAUAUAAAUGACACAAUUCCUUCA